CAUCAUCCACCAUUGACUUAAGAGAUGGAGAAAGAGCUACUUUUUUUAGAUCAUUUUUCAUUUUUGCAGUAUCAUUUCUGUUCCACACCAAUGCACCUUCCAUUUGAUGAAAAAUUGGAUAAUGACUAGAAUCCACUUCAUCGCGACGGUAUACAUCUGCGGUUAUUAAGAAACCAUUUUUCUUAAAUCCUUCUUUGGCCAAGCGAGAGAACUCUUCAGGUUGAUGAGCCGAGGUAUGGGUUCGAAGACAAGUUUUAUUGUUCAUAUAGUAAGUAUCGGAUUUGCUUCUACUUACAUGUGUCUUGGGAAAUCCUAAAGAAUCAAAAUUCGUCUCUACAGAAACAAUAGGUGAUUCUUUUUGAACAUUAUUCAUUUCGAAUUUUUGAAAUUGCUGUUCGAGAAGUUGUCGUAGACUGCAUAUGGGAUGACCUUCUUUUUGAAAAAGGUUUCGACCAAUUUUUGAGUGAAUAUGCUCUGGGACAUUGGACCAAGAAUCUGUUUGGACUUUUCUUUUCCAAUUGGGAAACCUUCUCGAAAAUAGUUUCGAUAAAUGAGAGACUCGAUGAGGGAACAUUGAUUUCUUAAAUAACACACUUCACU